GUUGUCUGUGCUUCUUUUCUUUGUUCGCUCAAGAACUUUGAUUGAGAAGCUGACCUCGGGCUUCUUUCUGGAUCCUAGUGUCAGCCUUCUGUGUCCUGGAUCACGGGCAAAGGGCAGAGGGCACCUAGAUCAGGCUCUCAGACUCUAUCCAUAGAAGCCAUGCGCUAAUGAAACCUCGACUCUUACUGUGUAGAAGCCGAGUAGAGCUGAUCUGAACUGUGUGGCACAGAUGGCUCACCAACGGCAAUUACAGCAAUGAGCCACUGCGCUCUCCCGGGUGAGGAAGAUGGCUCCGAGAGAAAAGGGCUUGCUGUGUACGGAUGAGGCUCUGAGUGUAGAUCUCAGCAUCCAUGUGAAGAGCCGGGUGUGGUGGUGCACGCCCAUGAUGCCAGCUCUAGCGGGCAGAGACAGAUGAAUUCCUGGGGCUUACCUGGCCAGGCUGCCUAGCCAAUGGGUGAAGCACCAGGUUCAGUGAGAGAGCCUGCUCAAAUCAAUCAAGUAGAGAAUGGAGGAAAAUCAAAUGAAGGCUGGAGAAAAAGCCAAGCGCAGUGCCACAUCACAUCCCAGUGACCAUGACCAUUAUGACAGGAGGCACAGUGCCUCCACGAACAGUCUUCAUAUAUCUUGGCAAAUAUGUGGGCGCGUGUCUCGUUGGCUGCACCGUGGCUGGUUCCUAGGAGCUGGAGUGUAGCAUUCAAGGCCUGAACAUGUUCAGCUGCAGUAGCAACUAUUGGAAACUCAAAACUCACAGAUUUCCCAGGCCAGUGAGGCAGCUCAGGGUAGAAGUGCUCGUUAUACAAGGUGUCCAUUUAGCCCUCGCCGCCAGUCACCCUGGAAGAUGUCGUCUUUGGCCCUGGGUUGCUGGGGAUACCAGGCUCGGAGGCAGCCAGUGACCUUGCUGAACCCAAGUCCCUGCCUUCUGUGAGCGUCGGCAUAGCUUGGGGUACCUGGCAGGCUUUGCUAGAGCUGGUGCUGCCCUUGGCCAGCUUGAUGACUUGAUGACUUGAUGACUUGAUGACUUGAUGACCUCUCUGAGUCUGAGCUUCUCAGCUUUCGAAAGAGAAGGAUGAGCUCCCAGGGCCUCAGCUGAUGGCGAGAAGUCAGCGAGCUAACGUUGCAAGGAACAUGCUGUCCACAGCAAGCAUCUGCCCCUG
rnacentral:lncRNA from 1 species